rnacentral:lncRNA from 10 species
UAUUUCAAAUUAUCCUUGUAAAAUAUUUAAGCACCUUUAAUGUAGUUGAGUAAAAAUUGAAGAGUUUUUAAACUAAAAGGAAUUUAUUAAAAUGGAGGCUGUGUUUACUCGGGGAGUGAAUUAGGUAACUUCUAAUCAAAUCCCAGAGGGCCGGCAAGUUUAUUCGCAUUAUGGAUGAAUAACAACCACAUUUCUUGUUCUUCAAGUAGUUGAUUAUCUUACAAAUUUAGAUCCACUUAUGAAAUUGCUAAGUAGCUCAAUACCAGCCGUGUAGUAGAUACACAACAAAUAUUUUUAAAUGGAAUAAAAGAGUGAAUGAGAACAAGAGAAUGAAUGCAAAGGGAACUGAUGCUUGCUGUGUUUAGGGCAUGUGACUAACAGAAUGCUACAUGCUUUCAAUAAUGGUGUUUUUCCAUAAAACUAUUCUGCAAAUUAGGCAUGCCUUUCACACCGUGAAUGCUUCAUACAUCACUACAACCACUAAAAUGCGCCACUAUAACUGCUGGAAUGUACAGGCCCUAACUAAGGAGUUUUUAUCCCCAAGAACAUCAGAGCAGCAAUUGCAUUAGUCAUCUGCAGUAAGGUUAACUAACCUUUUUAUACCCCCAAAGUUUUCUCUGUGUCUGGACCAGAGAGGAGCAGCUUAAAAGAGAUUUUAUAAAUAUACACCAUUGGCAUUUACUAAUCUAUUGCUCAAUUAUUCUAAAAAUGGGAAAAAUAGCAACUAAUUUUUCUGGAUCAGAUAAUUGGUAAGUAGAGAGACCUACAAAAUCUCUGAUAAGUGGGAUACAUACAUUACUAGUGCUGCUUAUUAAAGGUGAUUCAAUGAUAAUCUAUUGGGGAAGUGAGAUGAGAAAUUAGUAACGAUAUGCACCUUCCAAAAUCAAGCUGGAAAAUGGAUUUUAAUUAUAAUUCAGGGAGACAAGAGCUUGACUUCCAGUAUAAAAUGAUGUCUAUAUAGAACAAAUGAGACUUUCCAAUUUUUUUAUUUAAUUACCAUGCACAAAAUGGAAAAAGCAAACAUAAAAGGCAAAAUAAACAAAUGAAUACACAAAAUAACAUUAAACAAAAAAUAUUACAUCAUUACCACAUACUACCAAAUAAGCUUUUAUCACAAUCUGGAAAUACUUUUCACUAAGUGUAAAGCUGAUGACUACUCAUAUUACACAGUCAUCAGAGAAAUACUUUUUAAGUACUUUGUCCUAGGGCAUAAUAGAAGAUCCCCUGAUAGUCUGUAGUCUACUUUAAGGACAUUUUAUAAUGAUUGGUGAUGGAUUACAAAUGAGGUCAGGAGUUUAUUUCUUUUGCAGUAGUAAUUUAAAAUGUGUAUUGCUAGGAAUUCACUAUUUAAGUUUAAUGACUUUAAGUGAUUGCAGGUUAUGUCUUUUAAAAUACGUAAUAACCCUAAGGGUUUUGUCAUUUGUACAGUCAACUGAUAUAAAUGAUUUAAACAGCUCUAGUAUUUUGAUUAUAUUGGAUCUAUGAGUGCAUUUAAAAUAUUUUAAGUUUUUGAAUCCCGAGACAUAGGUACAACAUCUGUCACUGAAUGAGAUUUAGCGUUUCCACUAAGGCCCUGAUAGGAAACCUCAAUCCUGUAAUUUUGUAAUAUGGUUAUAAAAUCUUGGAUAAGAUCUGCUUUAUUUGGAAUGUGUCCAUAUUGUUCUUUGCCCGUGAAUGCACACUGUUUAUUUAUUCAUGAGAUGGAGUAAAACAGAAAGUCAUUGUGUUUUGGAAAAUCAUCCUCAUAAGAACCAUCGCAUCUCUGGUAAUUUGAUUUAGCAUGUCAAAUGUUUGAUUUCUAACUUGUUCUAAAAUAGUUGUUAUAUGUCUAAUUUCCUGAUUCAACUCAGCAGUCUCAUAGUGUGGGAAGUGACUGAUUUAACCAUUUAGUUUCAGGUACGUUUAUAAGGUAAUUUCACACUUUUAUUUCAGAGUGGGCAAGAGUUGGUAUUUAGUAAUAAUAAUACAUACAUGAUAGCACAAACCAGAUAAAUUCCUUGGGAGCAAAAGCUAAGUUCAUCUAACAAAGAAGAAAUAUAUUUCAUUAAAUGUUACUCUAUUUUUAUUAGGUACUUGAGUAGCUGGGCAGAAAAUGAUUAAGAAACAUGGGAUUAAUACAAAUGUACUCAAGUAUAUUGGCUACUUUCAAUAGGUCCUGAACUAUUUUCAAUAUAAAACUAUAAUAAUACAAAUUCUUUUAUCAAUGUAACCAUUUGUAUAAAGUAUGUGGGGUAUAUACACUUGCACUAGGGCCAGAGCAAAUUUAUAGAGUUCAAUUUGUACCAUAGUAGGCACUUCCCUUGUCUGGAGUUCAUCUUCUUACAGCAUGAACGUGAAACCUGGACUGUGACCCUUGAAGCUUACCAUUUUGUUGGAACUGUAAAGAGUUUAUUUAUUUAACUCCCUGGUGAAAUGACCACUCCUUUACAAGCAAUGUCUCUACCUGAAGUAAUGUUUCCUGCCUUAAAGACAACUUUGUAUUUUGUUAGUUUUGGGAAAUCAGUUUUCUUUAGAUUACUAUCUGCAGAGUAUAUAUCUUUUUCAAACUUUUACUUUCAACAUAUGUCUAUAUAUUUUAUGUGUGUCUCUGAGAACCAGAACAUGUAUAGGUUUUCUUGUCGUUUGCUUUUAAUUGAAGUGCUUAGUUUUGUAUGUAAUUACUGAUAUAUUUAGCCUUAUAUCUACCACCUUACUACUAUUGUUUUCAGUGUGACCUGUUUUUGUCCCUUUUUCUUUUUUUCUACUUUGAAUUACUAAAAUAUAUUUUAGUUUUCCAUUUUUCUUUUCUAUAAGCAUGAAAGUCAUAUGUUCUUUCACUUUUCUUUUAGCAGGUACCUCAGAAAUUAAAGCACACAUCCUUGACAUUGUAACUAAUACAAAUAAUUACAUUCACUUCUUCCCUGACAAUGCUUGCACAUUUAUUCACAAGACAUUAUAUCAUCAUUUAGUACAGUCAAUAUUAUGUUUACCUGAUUUUUUUUUUUUACUUUCCUUUGCUCUUUAGUUUUACUGCAUUUUGGCACUUCUACAUAGGACCAAUUUCUCUCUAUCUAAAACAUUAUCUGUAGUUUUUUGUUGUUUUUUUUUUUCAGUGCAGCUUGACUGAGGAAAUCUCUUUUUCCAAAGUAGCCUUUAUUUUGCCAUCUCUUUCAAGGAAUAUUUUAAGGGAUAUGGAAUUCUAGUUGGCAUAUAUUUUCAUAUAGCACUUUAAUAAUUGUAAUUGUUUUUUUUUUGGCUUUCCUCUUUUAUGGUGAGAGGCCACUGUCAUUGUAUUGUUAUUACUCUAAGUUUGGGGUUUCGGUAUUCUCUGGAUGAUUUUAAGAGUCCCUCAGUGACUUUUCCAUUGUUUUAUUACAAUGUAAUUUUGUGUAGGUUUUUUUUUUUAAUUUACCUUGCUUAGAGUUCGGCUAACAUAUUGAAUCUAUUGGUAUAAAUAACAUAUCCAUUUAAAAAAACUGUUGGUCAUUUUCUCCUCCAAUAUUGCCUCCUCCCAAUUUUCUAGAUAACACAUUAUAUAUAUGUUUGACAUUUUAACAGUGUCUCACAUACUUCUUUUAUCUACAUAUUUUUUUCUGUGUGUUCAUUUUGGAUAUAUUUGAUUUUUUUUACUAACCUGUCUCCAAUUCACUAACCGUUGGUGCAUGUCAAUUAUGCUAUAAAACCCAUUUGUUUUUAACUUUAGUUACUAUGUUUUUAACUUCUAAAAUUUUUAUUUGAUUUUUUAAAAUUCCAAUUCUCUGACAGAAUUAUCCAAUAUUUUCUGUAUUUUUUGUCUAUUUUCUUGUUAAUAUUAAUAUCAAUCAUUGCUGUUAUUUAGUCCUUCUUUGGUAAUUCUAACAGCUUGAUCAUUUGGGGAUUUCUUUCUAUUGUCUAUAUUUUCAUCUUAGCAUUUUGGUCAAAGGGUCAAUUGUCUUGAAUUUUUUUCCUUUUUCUUCAUUUUUAAAUGCCAGAAAUUGAA